rnacentral:misc_RNA from 2 species
AUAUAUUGCUGUGUGUAGUCUUUGCCUGUCAGCCCAUGAUAGGCUUUUUUUUUG